rfam:Bacteroidales bacterium 52_46 Ley3_66761_scaffold_1290, whole genome shotgun sequence.
GACUAUAAUUUAUCACCUCUCUAUAGUCGCGGCUG